UUGAAAAAAAGUCUUUGGGCUCAAGGC
rnacentral:piRNA from 1 species